AAAGAGAAAACCGGAAGUAGAAAAAAAAAACACAAUAUUAUAAAUCUAACAAGUGAGCUUUGUUGUCGAAACAGAAAAUGACAGUUAUCACCCAAAAGUUUGUUUAUAAUAGUAGCGAGAAGCAAAGUAAGCGUAACUAAACUGAGUGGAAAAUGAUCAAAAGCUAUGUUGUCUAGCAUCAGAAAGAAGAAACGUUUGACAGUACCAUGAAAACAAUGUCCGAUCCAAUCUCGCUUGUUGAGACGUUGACACUCAAUUAAAAGAACUACCAAAUAAGGGAAAAUAACUGUGAUACUCACGUAAUAUUCAUCCCUGCAAAUUUGUAUCUCGUCGUCUUCAACCGCAGCAUUACACAUCACAACAGACGAAAUCCCCAAGGUUUCGAUGGCCAUUGAUGUUCGGCUGUUACUGGAGAUGCUGCCUAAUGAGAUGGUGAAAGGUGUGCUUAAAGCAGUUUCUGCUCCUGUUGCUGUCCUUGGUGUCACAAUUCAGUGUGUUAUUCGUUUAUUUGUCUGUCGUCAUGUCAAAUCUCUUCCAUCUCUGUCACUCAAAUCUCAUCCAUGCACUCAUGCAGUAUACGAUUGAGACAAUCUGAUCUUACAUGAUCUAGGAGUGAUUCAAUCGACUACUGCAAGAUCAAAAAACUUUCUACGCCAAACAAAUAAUAACGCAGUGUUAUUAUCGCGCUUGAGAGAGCAUCAGGACCCCUACCAUCAAAUAAAAUUAUGGGUCUUUCGUUUAA